UACGUAGGGUGCAAGCGUUGUCCGGAAUUAUUGGGCGUAAAGAGCUCGUAGGCGGUUUGUCGCGUCGAAUGUGAAAUCCCGGGGCUCAACCCCGGGUCUGCAUUCGAUACGGGCAGACUAGAGUUCUGUAGGGGAGUCUGGAAUUCCUGGUGUAGCGGUGAAAUGCGCAGAUAUCAGGAGGAACACCGGUGGCGAAGGCGGUACUCUGGGCCGAUACUGACGCUGAGGAGCGAAAGCGUGGGGAGCAAACAGG
rnacentral:rRNA from 1 species